CUUCUCGUAGCUUAGUGGUAGAGCAAUGGCGCAUAAACUAGGGACCUGGGUUCGAUUCCCGGCGAGAGCG
rnacentral:tRNA from 1 species